rnacentral:tRNA from 1 species
AUAGGUAUAGCUUAAAGGUAAAGCAUAUGUCUUCAACACAUUAAAUAAUAGUUCGAUUCUAUUUACCUAUG